UCACCAAAAUGCCUGAAUUUAGGAUGUGCUA
rnacentral:piRNA from 1 species